rnacentral:tRNA from 1 species
GGUCUCAUCGUCUAGUCUGGCCUAGGACAUCGCGUUCUCAUCGCGAAGACUCGGGUUCAAAUCCCGAUGAGACUA